rnacentral:lncRNA from 1 species
AAACUGGUUUUUAAUUUCUUUUCCUCCUACACUUAUAAAUCCCAAUAUAUAUUUCUUUUCCUCCCACACUUAUAAAUUCCAAUAUAUAUUUCUUUUCCUCUUCCCCUUAUAAAUCUAAAUAUAUAUUUCUUUUCCUCCUACACUUAUAAAUCUCAAUUUUCUUAUUUUAACAUUUGUAAACUAUUAUAUUACAAAAUUUUAUUUACAUAUUAUAAAAUUUAUAAUUUAUAAUUUAUACAAAAAAUAACCGCAGCGAAGCGCGGGAACUCCACUCGAAUAAU